CCUACGUGUGGCAGCAGUAGGGAAUCUUCCACAAUGGACGAAAGCCUGAUGGAGCAACGCCGCGUGAGGGAAGAAGGGUCUCGGCUCGUAAAGCCCCGUUGGUCGUGAAGAAAGAUAGAGGUAGUAACUGCCCUUUAUUUGACGGUACUUACUUAGAAAGUCACGGCUAACUACGUGCCAGCAGCCGCGGUAAUACGUAGGUGGCAAGCGUUGUCCGGAUUUAUUGGGGGUAAAGCGAGUGCAGGCGGUACAAUAAGUCUGAUGUGAAAGCCUUCGGCUCAACCGGAGAAUUGCAGCAGAAACUGUGGAACUUGAGUGCGGAAGAGGAGUGUGGAACUCGAUGUGUAGCGGUGGAAUGCAUAGAUAUAUGGAAGAACACCGAUGGCGAAGGCAGCUCUCUGGUCUGCAACUGACGCUGAGGCUCGAAAGCAUGGGUAGCGAACAGGAUUAGAUACCCUUGUAGUC
rnacentral:rRNA from 1 species